rnacentral:rRNA from 1 species
GAUAUCCUACGGGGGGCAGCAGUGGGGAAUAUUGGGCAAUGGGCGCAAGCCUGACCCAGCAACGCCGCGUGAAGGAAGAAGGCUUUCGGGUUGUAAACUUCUUUUCUCAGGGACGAAGAAAGAGACGGUACCUGAGGAAUAAGCCACGGCUAACUACGUGCCAGCAGCCGCGGUAAUACGUAGGUGGCAAGCGUUAGCCGGAUUUAUUGGGUGUAAAGGGCGUGUAGGCGGGAGGGGA